rnacentral:tRNA from 1 species
AGUAUUAUACUUUAUAUAGAAGAUGUAAUUUGCAAUUACAUGAGUAAGACCUAAAAUUCUUUAAUACUA